GAAAUGCGAUAAGUAAUGUGAAUUGCAGAAUUCAGUGAACCAUCGAAUCUUUGAACGCAUAUUGCGCCCCCUGGUAUUCCUUGGAGCAUGCCUGUUUGAGUAUCAUGAAAUCUUCAAAGUAAAUCUUUUGUUAACUCAAUUGGUUUCUACUUUGGUAUUGGAGGUCUUUGCAGCUUCACACCUGCUCCUCUUUGUUCAUUAGCUGGAUCUCAGUGUUAUGCUUGGUUCCACUCGGCGUGAUAAGUUAUCUAUCGCUGAGGACACUGUAAAAGGUGGCCAAGGUAAAUGCAGAUGAACCGCUUCUAAUAGUCCAUUGACUUGGACAAUACUUUUAUGAUCUGAUCUCAAAUCAGGUAGGACUACCCGCUGAACUUAAGC
rnacentral:misc_RNA from 1 species